rnacentral:rRNA from 1 species
UACGUAGGGUGCGAGCGUUGUCCGGAAUUAUUGGGCGUAAAGGGCUCGUAGGCGGUUUGUCGCGUCGGGAGUGAAAACCCAGGGCUUAACCCUGGGCUGGCUUUCGAUACGGGCAGACUAGAGGUAUGCAGGGGAGAACGGAAUUCCUGGUGUAGCGGUGAAAUGCGUAGAUAUCGAGAGGAACACCUGCGGCGAAGGCGGGUAGCUGGGCCGACACUGACGCUGAGGCGCGAAAGCCAGGGGAGCGAACGGG